UUAAAAUUAAAUGGCGAUUGUCGGUAUGGUCGCUUUUUCAAACAAUAUACCAUUAUCUAUAUAAAGUGACUAGACCGAACACUCGUGCUAUAAUUUUAAAA
rfam:Drosophila virilis strain TSC#15010-1051.87 Ctg01_14833, whole genome shotgun sequence.